UCGAAUAAAUGAUGAUGAGAAGAAAAAAGGCAGCUCUCUGUUUUGUAGGCAGUGCAGAGUGGCUGCUGUCAACAAAGUCUAUACUAGGCGCUGUAUUUAAGUAUAUCUUCUUGUAUCUCAGCCUAGCACCAGCUCUCUGACAUGUCUCCUGUUUCCCUGUGAAAUGCGAUUCCUCUCUUUUUCUUCUCUAAUUAUUAUCUUCUAUUUUACUUCUUUACAACUUGCAACUCAGACUUGUUCCUUUCAACUAACCACAUCAUGAUUCUGGUUUGCCAACUUUUCAGUUCUUUUCCCAAAUCUCCAGCCCCCAAACCCCAAGGUAGGGAAAAGAACAACUUUCUUCUAGUAUGUUGUCUUUCUUUCUGCUUUUGGUCUACCUUAUUGGACAUAGUAAAAAAGCGCCAAGGUAGGGAAAAGAACAACUUUCUUAUCGUAUGCUGUCUUUCUCUCUCUUUCUUUCUUUCUGCUUUUGGUCUACCUUAUUGGACAAUUUUAAAGAAAUUGCUAG
rnacentral:lncRNA from 1 species